rnacentral:lncRNA from 1 species
GAAGUACAUUUUCUUACUCAGCUAAAGCUGUGGAAAACCACAAAAAUGAAUUUAUUGUUAUUCCUGAACUAGGUGGAGCUCAGUGUGAACCAACAGAACAGAAUCUGGCAAAACUUUUCAGUUAAUACCUAGAGAUCCUAAUAAUCUCUCUGAGGCUCUUCUGACAUUUACCAUUGGGCUCAAAAGUUCCAGCAGAGCUAUUAAAAUGAAACCCAGGGGGAGAGUUGUGGACCCACUGGACAUCUAAGUAAAAUAAGUAUUGGUAUUAGGGAAAAAUUGGGCUCCAUAUCUUUGAGCAAUUACUUCAAGGAAUCCCAUAAUAUAACUUAUGGAGGCCAUUACAGUGGAUGUUAUUACAUGCUGUCACGGAGCUCCAGAAGAGUGGAGUGAAUAUGAAUGCAGCGGU